GGAGGCUUAGCUCAGCUGGGAGAGCAUCUGCCUUACAAGCAGAGGGUCGGGGGUUCGAGCCCGCUUGGCUCCACCA
rnacentral:tRNA from 1 species